rnacentral:rRNA from 1 species
GACGAACGCUGGCGGCGUGCUUAACACAUGCAAGUCGAACGGUGAAGCGCCUUCCUUUUUGGCUGGUGUGGUUGAGUGGCGAACGGGUGAGAAACACGUGAGUAACCUGCCUCCUUCUUCUGGCAAACCGCGUGAAAGUGUGGCUAAUACGGGAUAUUCUGAGUCUGUCGCAUGAUGGGUCUGGGAAAGAUAUUGUUUCGGUGGGGGAUGGGCUCGCGGCGUAUCAGCCUGUUGGUGGGGUGAUGGCCUACGAAGGCGGUGACGGGUAGUCGGACUGAGAGGGCGGCCGGUCUGAGUGGGACUGAGGCCCCGGACAGCUUCCGAAGGGAGCAGGCGGGGGGGAAUCGUGCACGAUGGGAGCAAGCCUGAGGCAGCGACGCUGCGUGAGGGAGGGCGGCCGGUGGGUUGGGAACCUCUUUCGCGAGUGAAGCAGGCCUGCCUCGUUGGGGGGUGGGUUGACGGUAGCUGGAUAAGAAGCGCCGGCUAACUACGUG